CGAAUAUGAGGUUCAUAAAAAAAGGAACAGAUUGCACAGCGGAAUAACAAUGUAUAAACUUUGUAUUACUUAGAAACAUGAGAUUCAAUACACAACUUCUUAACAGUCUCAUAGACAAUCACUAGUUCAUCCCUAACAUCAUCUAACCACACGUUACACAGCCUCUCACUGACCGAGCCUUCACGACUCCUUGGCUUGACCAGAACCAUCCUUAGUUCCUGAAACCACAACCAGAUAAGCAUUAAUCAUAACCAAGAAUAGAACGGAUUGAUUCCACAAUGCUUGGCUUGGUUCCUAAAACUUAGAUAAACCUCAGUCAACAUAAUCAUAAAACGUAUGAACCUACCUACCGUACCCUAAGUCAUUCAACCAACCACCCCUUGACUUAGAUAAACCUCAGUCAACAUAAUCAUUCAGCAUUUCGGUUUAAUCACACAUCUGGAAAAUGUCCCAUACCAUUUUCCAAAGCGUCUUACUAUUGCAAGUGCUGACACCAUUCACAAC
rnacentral:lncRNA from 1 species